rnacentral:lncRNA from 1 species
UUGUUUAUUACUUCAAAUUUUCAAGCCCAUUGAAUCUAUUUUGUAAAGGCUGUCAAUCAUCUAUGCACAAAAAGUUAUUGAAGGAAAAGCUGAUUCCAAAGCUAUGAAAGCAAAGGGCACCAGAAAGCCAUUGAGCUGUUCAAAACUCAAUGAAAGUUGAGAAUGCAAUGAAAGUUAACCACUGGAAUUUCAAAAGCAUAACACCCUUUUAGGAAUGCCUUGAAGUUCCUAGUAUUACACUCACCUUCUUCUCGCUAACACUGGAGUUCACCUUUUGUCUUUGAGCUGCAUUGAGCAAACAUUUAUGAUUUACCCAUCAAAACAUAUCAAAAGCAUCUACUGAGUCUCUGUCUAUCUGAAAAUUUAGCUACAAAUUGGGAAUACAUUGAAAAGAAAUAGGCAGGAAACAGAGGAAAGGGGGAAAAAAAAAAACCAGAUUUCAGGUGUCGAGGAAUCAAAAUAAAACCUCCCAAUAGGACACCCAAAAUCAAAGCCACCGCAGCCACAACCAUAUCUCAGAUUCAGCUCCUUCUACUACAUUAAUCACCAGAGAAAAAACCCAUAUCGAAUGAUCAUGUUGUAAUCGUAAGCUUUCUGAGGAAAGAAAACUAGAAUUUACUUCCAGUGUAAAAAAGAAGAUGAAAUUUUCCCAGACCCAACAGUAAUGAUGAACAAAAAAAAAAAAAGAAAAAGAAAAGCAAUUGAACAGCUAAUGUCGAGCUUUUUAAAAAGGUACCUUCCUCAAAGAAAGAUAAAAGAUUGAGUUCUGCAGCUGAGAAAAGCGAGAGCUCUCCAAAUUCAGAUACGAAUGUGGGGUUUUUCCUUCAGAGAAAUUAUUAUUUAUGUAUAAAUUUACCCUUUUUUAUACAAAAGAGGCAAGUGCUGAG